CAAUAAUAAAAUAAUAAUAAAAAGAAAAGAAGAAGAAGAGAGAGAAAAUAAUUAAAAAAAAUGUGGGACCCACUGAAUUUUUAUAAAAACUCACCUGUUCCUUCAUUUCUUCAUUCCUUCUUUCGUGCGUGAGCUUCGGCAGAGAGAGCAUCUGUGAGCCAAAUUCACCGGUGCUGGGUUUUAAGAUUGUAUUACUGGUGAAGAUUGUGGUGAGAGAGAAAUUUUAAGGAAUAAUUUAUUGAAAAAGCCACAAGGUAACCAUGCUUUUAAUUUGUGAUUAGUGUUACUUCUUGUUAAUUGGGUGAUUAUUGAGAAAAUUAUGAAUUUUGUAAUAUUGUAUAAUUGUGCAAUAUUAUUAUGAAUUUGUUUAAUUAUUGUGGGAGGUGUUGGGAGACUUGCUAUUGUUGUUGUAUUUAUGUGCCACGUGGUACGCCCCUAUUGGAGCUCAAUAGGUGGUUUGUAAGGGCUCGGGCUAAUCUACCUUUGGCCGGGUAAUUUAGUACCGAGUGAGGGCUACGGCUCGAGGUUAAUGGAGGGAUAUAAGGAUGGUUGUUUGUGUUUAUUAUAAUAUUUCUUAUAUUUGUUAGAAUUAUAUUAUUUUUAAUUCUCACUUAGUAAGCACACACUUAACUGUUUGUAUACACUAUCAUAAAUUGGCUUUGGUUACUGGGACUUUUGAGUCUCAUUAUGUGGUUAACAAUUUUCAGGAGAAGAGCCAAGAGUGACACGUGGAGGAGUCCCAGAGGCUUAGUGGUAUAGAUCCACUGUCUCUUUUGGGUAUUUAAUUUAUGAUUUAUAAUGUGUUAUAUUGCCAAUAUUAGGACUUUUUUAUGUUUAUUGUCAAUUAUAUGAAUAUAUAAAUGUAAUCAUGCCUUUCAAACUAUUUCUAUUUUUGGUACAAUUUGGAUGACUGUAAUUUUAAUAUUUGGUUUACUUUGGAUUGGUUAAAAUGGCAUGAUUAUAAGGCCAAAUAACUGGCUUGUGUUGAAAAUUGACUAAA